GACGAACGCUGGCGGCGUGCUUAACACAUGCAAGUCGAACGCUGAAGCUCAGCUUUUGUUGGGUGGAUGAGUGGCGAACGGGUGAGUAACACGUGAGUAACCUGCCCCCUUCUUUGGGAUAACGCCCGGAAACGGGUGCUAAUACUGGAUAUUCACUGGUCUUCGCAUGGGGGUUGGUGGAAAGGGUUUUUCUGGUGGGGGAUGGGCUCGCGGCCUAUCAGCUUGUUGGUGGGGUGAUGGCCUACCAAGGCUUUGACGGGUAGCCGGCCUGAGAGGGUGACCGGUCACAUUGGGACGGAGAUACGGCCCAGACUCCUACGGGGGGCAGCAGUGGGGAAUAUUGCACAAUGGGCGCAAGCCUGAUGCAGCGACGCCGCGUGAGGGAUGGAGGCCUUCGGGUUGUGAACCUCUUUCGCUCAUGGUCAAGCCGCAACAAUGGUUGUGGUGAGGGUAGUGGGUAAAGAAGCGCCGGCUAACUACGUG
rnacentral:rRNA from 1 species